rnacentral:rRNA from 1 species
UACGGGAGGCAGCAGUGGGGAAUAUUGCACAAUGGGCGCAAGCCUGAUGCAGCCAUGCCGCGUGUAUGAAGAAGGCCUUCGGGUUGUAAAGUACUUUCAGUCGUGAGGAAGGUGUUAAGGUUAAUAACCUUAGCAAUUGACGUUAGCGACAGAAGAAGCACCGGCUAACUCCGUGCCAGCAGCCGCGGUAAUACGGAGGGUGCGAGCGUUAAUCGGAAUUACUGGGCGUAAAGGGCACGCAGGCGGUUAAUUAAGUUGGAUGUGAAUCCCCGGGCUUAACCUGGGAAUGGCAUUCAAGACUGGUUAGCUAGAGUCUUGUAGAGGGGGUAGAAUUCCAUGUGUAGCGGUGAAAUGCGUAGAGAUGUGGAGGAAUACCGGGUGGCGAAGGCGGCCCCUGGGACAAAGACUGACGCUCAUGUGCGAAAGCGUGGGGAGCAAACGAGGAUUAGAUACC